UGGUUCUGGCAUCGAUGAAGAACGCAGCGAAAUGCGAUAAGUAAUGUGAAUUGCAGAAUUCAGUGAAUCAUCGAAUCUUUGAACGCACAUUGCGCCCCGUGGUAUUCCGCGGGGCAUGCCUGUUCGAGCGUCAUUUAAACCCAUCCAGCUUGCUGGGUCUUGGGCCGUCGCCUUUGGGCGGGCUUUAAAACCAGUGGCGGCGCCAUCUGGCUCUACGCGUAGUAAUUCUUCUCGCUAUGGAGUUCUGGGUGGUGGCUGGCCAGGAACCCUUAUUCUUUCAGGUUGACCUCGGAUCAGGUAGGGAUACCCGCUGA
rnacentral:misc_RNA from 1 species